rnacentral:lncRNA from 1 species
GAACUCAUUAUAUAGACUAGGCUGGCCUCAAACUCUGAGAUCUGCCUGCCUCUGCCACCCAGUGCUAAGACUACCAUAACCAGCCUAGGUCUUCAUUUUUAUACAGCAAACACUUUACCAUUUGAACAGUCCCCACACCUUAAUUUUUAAGAUGUAGGCCAGGCAUGGAAGCAAGUGUAUAUCUGUAAUUUCAGUAUUUAUGAGACUAAGGAUGGAAUAUAGUAGAUUUGAUACUAUCCUGGGCUAUAUAUCCAAGACCUUGUAUCAAAAAAAUAAGUUGCAUUUUAUUUUUUGGUGAUAGAAGGCUUCUACAGAAUUCUUUUUACAGACGACCAUUUUAAGUCAGCAUUACUCUCACUUUCUUUGGCAAAUAAAGUGCUUUCAUCACCAUGGAAAAUGUUUACUCACUGUGACCAUAUUUAUGCUGUACUCCUUGCUUUAAUAAACACUAGUGCUUUGACAUAUCCUUUUGGCAUUUAGUCACUGAUGCAAUUAACACACCCCAUUCUGCUACACCUGUCUUUUCCUUACAUAGGCUUCGCCUUCUUAGGGCUUAUGUGUGCUUUUCUCAAGCCUACUUGUUUAUAUUUACCAUUACAUACAUAAAUAUAUCCAUAGCAUUAUUCACUAACUUUGUGGUGGUAUGCCUGCUUGGGCUGGUUUUUAAGCACUGAUUAUUAUUUCUAAUUAUGUGGAGGGCCUAUGUGUACAUUGAAUACAGUGCCUGUGGAGACUAGAAAAGGGCAUCAGAUACCCUGGGGCUAGAGCUAGGUGGUGUGAGUUGCCUAGCACCCAGCCCCUGGCUUGUGUAUUUCCUAAGAAGGUAAAUAAUACAUUAAGAAUACUGUUCCAUGUAUUUCUUUUGGCUACCAGGAGUUUUCCAUAUUACUACAUGGGAACCUCAUUCUUAAUUGUUGUGUGAUGUCCCAUUGUAUCUACAAACCAUCUUGUUCGUUUAGUUCAUUUUCUAUUGACUAUUAUAAACAGUCCUCUAGUGUCUUACAACAUGUUUCAUUUAAUAUCAUCAGAGGUUUUUUUCUGUUUACUUGCUUGAGAGUGGCUGUAUUUCCAUUUUCGGCAGCAGGUACACAUAAGGAUUUCUUGGCUUCCUCACAGCAUUUGAACUCAGAAUUU